UAUCCAGGCGGCUGGACACAUAGGUAUUACUUUGCGUCAGCCGAAAGUCGCUCAAGACAGACGUUUGAUUUUCAAACGUUUUGCUUGGUGGGUGGUUGUGUAGUGUGACAAAAUGCAGCUUUUUGUGUUAGGUCUUGUGGGUAACACAAAACCAACAAAAAAAGUGCUUUCAUAGGGCGUAAAAUCACAUCGUGAUGUAAUCCAUUAGCCGUA
rnacentral:misc_RNA from 1 species